UACGUAGGGUGCGAGCGUUAAUCGGAAUUACUGGGCGUAAAGCGUGCGCAGGCGGUUUUGUAAGACAGAUGUGAAAUCCCCGGGCUUAACCUGGGAACUGCAUUUGUGACUGCAAGACUAGAGUGUGUCAGAGGGGGGUGGAAUUCCACGUGUAGCAGUGAAAUGCGUAGAGAUGUGGAGGAAUACCGAUGGCGAAGGCAGCCUCCUGGGCCAACACUGACGCUCAGGCACGAAAGCGUGGGGAGCAAACAGG
rnacentral:rRNA from 1 species